CAGCUACCCAGCAAUGGGAUGCGAAUCUCGAAAGCCUGUCUCAGUUCGGAUUGGAGGCUGAAACCCGCCUCCAUGAAGUUGGAUUCGCUAGUAAUCGCGCAUCAGCCAUGGCGCGGUGAAUACGUUCCCGGGCCUUGUACACACCGCCCGUCAAGCCAUGGGAGCCGGGGGGUGCCUGAAGUUCGUGACCGCAAGGAGCGACCUAGGGCAAAACUGGUGACUGGGGCUAAGUCGUAACAAGGUAGC
rnacentral:rRNA from 1 species